CCAAAACAUGCCAAAGUAAUGUUAAAUUGGCUGGAACACCUCGAUAGGAAGAUAUUGGGUACGAAGUUGCAUAUAAAGCAGCGAAGAGGUGAAACUCCACAUCCUUGACAAGAUGAAGACCGUACAGGUUGCUCUUCUCGUCUUUGUGCUCAUCAGCCAGGGUGAGGCCCUGGAGUGUAACUGUGGAGGAAUAAAUACUUUGUGUACAACUGAGACUUGCUCAGGUGUCAGCGAUGUCUGUGCCGUUUACUACAGGUUUGACAACACUCUGGUACACUAUAAAGGCUGCGCACCACGCAGUGAAUGCUUUCCGAAGAGGAACAUCGACAGAACAACUAAAUGCUGCAUGUCUAACUGGUGCAACUGAUAAAAGUUCCUGUUCAUGAAUGGCAUGGAUUUACAAUCCAAAUAAAUGGGUGGAGAAAAAAAGUACUGUAAAGUUUUCAUUCAUUCACUCAUCUUCUGAAUCGCGUGUGUGAACGGCGUACUUCCCAGUUAUGCGCGCGCAUUCGCGCCCGCCCCCACCUUUGUGUUUAUUGCACUGUUUAUUGCACAAUUCAUUUGUGUGUUGUUGAUUAUUGUGCAGUCAAUUUGCAUUGUUUUAGAUCAGCACUGAUAUGAUGUUAACUGUAACCCCUAAACCCUAACCUGAAGUUCAGAAUUUUUCACAUUAGGCUUAAUCUUCGAGUUAGGGGAGGGUUAAUUAGUCGGUGAAGUUUAUUUCAACAGAUUCCAUGCCGUUUGUUAGUUUCAGGGCUCCUGAGUGGCUUAGCUAGCGCGAGUUAAUGGUGGUUGAACUCAACUCCAUCGACUACUUAAACCCCCGGUGACACCAAGAUUAAGCCUUAUGUGAAAAAUUCUUAUCUUCCCCUUUAAAUUCAAUUAUCGGAAAGUCACUUACAUGUGAUGACAUUUUUCUGUUGUCAUUCUUAUGUUAGGGCAGCAAAGAGAGAAAAAUUGGUAAAAAGUAACCGGUACAUUACUUUUAAAGUAACUUAGUUACUUUGAUGAUAAAGUAAUCAGUAAAGUAACUACAUUACUUUUUUGAGGCGUAAUCAGUAAUCAGUAAUGAAAUUACUUUUUCAAGUAACCUGUGACAACACCGUUCAAAUGUUUCCGCAAAAAAAUUGACCAUAACAUCGAAACUGCUUUUGGGGAAUUUAACUGAUUGUGUUAAAUGAGAAAACAUGCAAAACCUUUUUUGGGGGGUUAUCUAAGUCAGUGUUUUUCAACCGGUGUGCCACAUGAAAUUAUCCAAUACCACAUUUUUUAUUUUUUUUUACGUCGUUGGGCGGAGUUACAGUGGGAAGGAAGGUGUAGGUAGAAGGUUGCGGUCGUGUGCAGAUGUGCGAGGUAUUGCUCGUGUCGCGUUCAAGAAUUGCUCGGACUUCUAGCCAUCAGCCACCUUGCUGACCGUAACAAUGUGGACCUCAGCACGUCUAUUGUACAUCAUUUGAUUAGACUCGUCAAGUGUCGAUGUACACAAAACUGUCCUAUCCAAUUCAUCCAUAUGUGACGACCGUCAAUCCUCGCCCUGUGUUUUAUUCCAACACAUUGUCGAGCCAUCCCUGCGCUGUCAUAUGUAAUUUGCGUUCCGGCACCUUAUGAGUUUCAAAUCAAGCACUGCUUGUGUAGCGUCAUCCGUUUCGACCGCGCGUAUCUGAGUCGGACGAGACAUUCAACUUUAUUUCCUUAUAAUAUGAAAUGUAAAUGUUUGCAUUUAAAAUAUAUUCCAUUUCACUUGGCUUAAUGUAAGUCAUUUGUACCUAUUUUUGUUAAUGUAUGUUCCUGUGUUUUUAAAUGUAUACAUCCGUCAGUGUUUACAUUUGCUUCAAUUUUAAUGUACAGUGGAUCACAAAAGUGAGUACACCCCUCGCAUUUCUGCAGAUAUUUAAGUAUAUCUUUUCAUGGGACAACACUGACAAAAUGACACUUUGACACAAUGAGAAGUAGUCUAUGUGCAGCUUAUUUUCCCUCAAAAAAACUCAAAAUAUAGCCAUUAAAUAUCGAGACCACUGGCGACAAAAGUGAUUACACCCCUUUGAAAAAACGUACAUCCCUCAAUGUCCAAAUUGAGUACUGCUUGUCAUUUUCCCUCCAAAAUGUCAUGUGACCCGCCCGUCACCUCAGACCAUAGGACACCAUAGGACAUGGUGCCAGUAAUCCAUGUGCUUUGUAGAUAUGCCUUCAGCAAGCUGUUUGCGGGGUUUUUUUAUGUACCGUGUUGAUGGGGGAAAAUAUUACAUUAUGCUUUUGUGAUGUAUGAUUGCUUCUGUGACAUAGAUUGUAACAACUUCUAUUGUUUUUCACCUUGUUCCCAUAGUUGGGAGACGCGCUUGAGAAUCUCACAAGAUAACUUGUUUUGCACCAUAGUAUUGUUUUACUACACGCCUGGGUCCCAUAGUUACACGCCUGGGUCCCAUAGAGAUAACUUGUUUUGCACCCAUAAUAUUUACUAUUACUAUUACUAUACUAUUUAAUAUAUUUGUUGGCAUCUGUUGCAGCACAGCUCAUUUGUCCCAUGUGAAAAGCCCUUUUUCAAGAGGGCUGAACCAAAAGUAGCUUAAAUGUUUGUGAUUGGACGGGGCCGCGCCGCUCGGGGUCGGAAGUUGGCCUCUCCGCCUCCGAGGGGUGCGUCCUUACAAAACUGGACACUUCCGGGCGACCCGUGAAGUCCGCCAGGGGUCACGUACGGAUCGCCUGGCUUUGCCCCUUUGCCGCUUUACUGGAAUGUUGCUGGCUUCCCACUCACUUGUCACGGUAAGCGAUUUUCAUUGCUAGGGGACACUUGGUUGUACUGUAACGUAGCAUAGGGAUUCUGAGAUUGACAAACUCAAAUCUAGCAUCACGUUACCAUCUGUUUGCUUGCUCUUGUGGGAUUGUAAUCAAUAAAUCUAAUUUAUUCUGCAUUUUCUAAUCAAUAAACAUCGUCUAUUGAGCAAAAGUGUGCCUGUUACUGAUUCACCGUGAACCUGGAAAUUUCGGAAAACACGUGUUCACAAGAGGCUUCCUCCUGGGGUGACAGCAAUGCACACCAAUUUGAUGUAGAGUGCGGCGUAUGGUCUGAGCACUAACAGGCUGACCCCACACUUCUUCAAUCUCUGCAGCAAUGCUGACAGCACUCCUGUAACGAGUCACAUGGCAUUUUGGAGGGAAAAUGACAAGCAGUACUCAAUGUGGACAUUUAGGGAUGUACGUAGUUUCUAUGCGGUGUACUCACUUUUGUUACCAGGGGUUUAGAUACUAAAGGCUUUAUUUUGAGGAGAAAAUUAUAUAAGAUGCACACAGACUAAAUUCCAUUGUGUCAAAGUGUCAUGAAAAGAUAUACUUAAUUAUCUGCAGAAAUGCGAGGUGUAUUCACUUUAGUGAUACACUGUUUUCCGAUUUUUAUUCAUAAUUUAUUUGUUCUGCUAUGUGUAAUUGCUAUUUGCAAUAGUACCAGCAGCAUUUAUUAAGAAUUUAGUGUAGGUUUUCAGGCUGUGGAAUGAAUUAAUGGAAUUAUAAUGUAUUCUUAUGGGAAAAUCCUGCUCGACAUAUGACCAUUUCAACUUACAAACAAGGUCCUGGAACAAAUUAGUUUCAUAUGUAGAGGUAUCACUGUACAAUACUUUUGGACUUUUGGAUAGUUAUUUUGAGAUUUAGGGUUACUUAAAGGAUUAAUUCCGAUUUUCGCAGAAAUUCGAGUUACGUCGCCAGCGUAGCGACAGAACUCGUUCGUUACCCGGGGACUACCUGUACUGUCCCGCGGGCCACAAUUGGCCCACUGGCCGUAAUUCUGAGACCCCUAUAUUCCGUCAAACGUGUUGGGACCCCAUGGCAACUAAAGUAACCUCCCUGAGGAUGCAGACAACACUAUAAUGAGUACACCCAGAAAAAAUUCCCACGAAGCCAUCCCUGGAAAGGCACACAAAAUUUUGUUCCGUUUUGAGAUCAUUUACAGGUCUAUUUGUCCAAUUUCCAAGGGUCUUUUGUCCAAAAGUCAUCUCUUCAUUGCAUUAUGCUGUGUUUUUGGCGUUUGUGUACUCUUGUGUAAGAAAGUACUUUGCCCCAAAACAUGCCAAAUUCAUUUUAAAUUGGCUGGCACCCCCCGAUAGGAAGAUAUUGGGGACAAAGUUGCAUAUAAAGCAGUGAAGAGGAGAAACUCCACAUCCUCAACAAGAUGAAGACUGUACAGGUUGCUCUUCUCGUCUUUGUGCUCAUCAGCCAGGGUGAGUGUUGUACGUCAUUUCAGCUGUAACGUCUUUAUGAAAAAUAUUUUUCUUUGUCUAGGUGAGGCCCUGGAGUGUAACUGCAGAGGAACACGUAGUUCAUGUAAUGAAUCAACUGAGACCUGCGUAGGUUUCAGCGAUGUCUGUGCCACUUACUACUACUCGCCUUUAUUCCGUAAGUAGUUCAUUCAAGGGUUUUCAUUCUCACAAUGGCGUCUGUUGUAGAUAUGUCUAAAUAACAUUUAAAAAUAAAAAAUCCUCCAAUGAUUAUCAUUUAAAUGCAUAAAUUGCACUUUUUUCUCCUAAAAAUUGAAUUUUCUAAAAGGGCAACUGAAGACCUUUCCGGAUUUUGGUGUAAUUUUACGAAUAUAAACUUUGGACGAGUUCGUCAAAACAACCAUGACAUUAUCAACACGUAAUUGUAAGGAUAAUUUGCGUUUUUUUAGUUUUUUUGCACUCCGUUAAUGUUCCCUUCGCAAACCCGGAAGUGUGACGUAGAUUCCCCGCCGCAACAGAGAAGACUAUCCACAGCUAGCAUUGCAGCAACAACGAUGUCAAUGAUAUUUCCACCAAAGGUAACCAUUCAGGAUCGCUCUUUCGUGACGCUACCGAUGGCAAAGGCUCUGAGGAAAGAUGAACUACAAUAAAUCCCUACAUGUUUGAACCUGAGGCGUCAGAUGACGACGAUUUGCUUGACACAGCAGAUGUCGUCAUGACGCCAAUUGACAGCUCGACACUUCACGAACGGGAGAGUGAGUGGUAAGCCUAAAUCCAGCAUCGUGAUUUUUUCAUUUGAGAGAAUGCGAUUACAUGGUUGUAUAUUUUUCUAUGCUCUCCACAUAGCUAAAACUGGAUAUUAGGUAAUCAGACAGCUCCUACCGAUCUAAAUAUGGUAAAGCUAGCCCAAAUGUGGCUAAAUGAAUGAUAUGUUAUUGAUUUUUCAAAAUAAAUGACAAAACGAUUGUAUUUUCCAGGUGUUGCUGUAAACCGUCAAGUAAUUACCAUUCCAAGAGUAUGCCUGUGUCGUCAGGAGAUCCUAGACUUGAGAGCCAAACUUGAGGAGGCUGAAGCACUGACAGGGGCAUGAAUUACAUUAAAAAAAAUAAAACCAUAAAUUGUAAACAACA